rnacentral:tRNA from 1 species
GGCGGGAUAGCUCAGUUGGUCAGAGCGCACGGCUCAUAAUCGUGAGGUCCUGGGUUCGAGUCCCAGUCCCGCUA